GGAGAGGUGGCAGAGCGGUUGAUUGUACCUGACUCGAAAUCAGGCGUGCCGGUGACGGUACCGAGGGUUCGAAUCCCUCCCUCUCCGCCA
rnacentral:tRNA from 1 species